rnacentral:rRNA from 1 species
UAGAGUUUGAUCCUGGCUCAGGAUGAACGCUAGCUACAGGCUUAACACAUGCAAGUCGAGGGGAAACGAUAGAGAAAGCUUGCUUUUUCUAGGCGUCGACCGGCGCACGGGUGAGUAACGCGUAUCCAACCUGCCCAUCACUUGGGGAUAACCUUGCGAAAGUAAGACUAAUACCCAAUGAUAUCUCUAGAAGACAUCUGAAGGAGAUUAAAGAUUUAUCGGUGAUGGAUGGGGAUGCGUCUGAUUAGCUUGUUGGCGGGGUAACGGCCCACCAAGGCGACGAUCAGUAGGGGUUCUGAGAGGAAGGUCCCCCACAUUGGAACUGAGACACGGUCCAAACUCCUACGGGAGGCAGCAGUGAGGAAUAUUGGUCAAUGGACGAGAGUCUGAACCAGCCAAGUAGCGUGCAGGAUGACGGCCCUAUGGGUUGUAAACUGCUUUUAUAAGGGAAUAAAGUGAGCCUCGUGAGGCUUUUUGCAUGUACCUUAUGAAUAAGGACCGGCUAAUUCCGUGCCAGCAGCCGCGGUAAUACGGAAGGUCCGGGCGUUAUCCGGAUUUAUUGGGUUUAAAGGGAGCGUAGGCCGGAGAUUAAGCGUGUUGUGAAAUGUAGAUGCUCAACAUCUGCACUGCAGCGCGAACUGGUUUCCUUGAGUACGCACAAAGUGGGCGGAAUUCGUGGUGUAGCGGUGAAAUGCUUAGAUAUCACGAAGAACUCCGAUUGCGAAGGCAGCUCACUGGAGCGCAACUGACGCUGAAGCUCGAAAGUGCGGGUAUCGAACAGGAUUAGAUACCCUGGUAGUCCGCACGGUAAACGAUGGAUGCCCGCUGUUGGUCUGAAUAGGUCAGCGGCCAAGCGAAAGCAUUAAGCAUCCCACCUGGGGAGUACGCCGGCAACGGUGA